rnacentral:rRNA from 1 species
GGAUUAGAAACCCGGGUAGUCCACGCCGUAAACGUUGGGCGCUAGAUGUGGGGACCAUUCCACGGUUUCCGUGUCGUAGCUAACGCAUUAAGCGCCCCGCCUGGGGAGUACGGCCGCAAGGCUAAAACUCAAAGGAAUUGACGGGGGCCCGCACAAGCGGCGGAGCAUGCGGAUUAAUUCGAUGCAACGCGAAGAACCUUACCAAGGCUUGACAUAUACCGGAAACGGCCGGAGACGGUCGCCCCCUUGUGGUCGGUAUACAGGUGGUGCAUGGUUGUCGUCAGCUCGUGUCGUGAGAUGUUGGGUUAAGUCCCGCAACGAGCGCAACCCUCGUUCUAUGUUGCCAGCACGUUAUGGUGGGAACUCAUAGGAGACUGCCGGGGUCAACUCGGAG